rnacentral:rRNA from 1 species
UACGUAGGUGGCAAGCGUUGUCCGGAAUUAUUGGGCGUAAAGCGCGCGCAGGCGGCCUCUUAAGUCUGAUGUGAAAUCUUGCGGCUCAACCGCAAGCGGCCAUUGGAAACUGGGGGGGCUUGAGUACAGAAGAGGAGAGUGGAAUUCCACGUGUAGCGGUGAAAUGCGUAGAUAUGUGGAGGAACACCAGUGGCGAAGGCGACACGCUGGGCCGUACCUGACGCUAAAGCGCGACAGCAUGGGGAGCGAACGGG